AAAAAAAAAAAAUGGAAUACAGUAAAUAACCCAAAACCCACGUGACCCAUUCCCACUUUCAUUUCACACUUCCAUUAUCCAAUUUCUUUCUCUUCUUCUUUGUUUCCUGUUUCUAGAAUUUUCAUCCAAUAUCAUCUCAUUUCAAACCACCAACUCCAUUCAUACAUCAUUCCUCGUCCAAAAGGAAAAAUGAUACACCUCUAAAAGCUCUCUCAUAAUUUCACAUAUGUAAUUGAGGAUGAAUUGGGGUUUAGGGUUAGUCCUCUAAGGAAGAGGAUGAGUACCCAUUUCUUGAAAAUUGCUUAUUGAGACUCUUUGAGAUUCAACCGUUGCUGCUUCAUCUGCUUCUCCCGGAGUUGUUGGAGAGCAAAAUUAGCCGGUCUUCAUAGUUAUUCCCAGUCAGCUGAGUAGCAAGUUGUUAGCAUAUUCAAAUCUUCAUCAGUCUCACUCUUUUGGUAGGCCUCCUUUAUGGUUUGAUCAAAUAUCUGCAGCUAUUUUGAGUCUAGGAAUAUUUCAUUUUGGGAUGUAUAAAGUUAAGAAUGUAAAUGUUGAAACUUUGACUAAUGAUGUAUAUGCUGCAAACAGGGUUUAUUUUGAUUUGGAAACAUUGUAAAUACAGAUGUGAUUUUGUCGAGAUUUCAAUAAAUAUUAUUUUUGAAGUAAA